rnacentral:tRNA from 2 species
CGGGCUGUGGCGCAGUCUGGUUAGCGCGCCGGUCUGGGGGACCGGAGGUCGGAGGUUCAAAUCCUCUCAGCCCGACCA